CUCUAACUUGGAGAACUUUGCAUAAUUUAGAUAGAGUGGCUCUCGUGCAUCCCUUACAAGCAUUGCAAACUAUUCAGAAGUUUUUUCUAUCUCAAGCCGGAUAUUGUGUUCAUGAUCAGAAUUGCCUUCAGAUGCACUAGUACUCAUGCGUACAUUUGAACAAAUGUCCUGAUGUAAAUCAUCUAAUAGUUCUCCUAUACCACCAUAUUCGACAGGUUCAGCAGCAUUACUAUCAUCUUCAUUAUCGUCAUCGUCACGCACAACUUCAUUCGGAUCAGCCUCCCUAUGCUAUAUCCAGCAAGUAUAUUUGUUAUCCAUACCAUAACGUAGCAGAUGCUCCUUAAUAAGUGUUAUGUGAUGAUAUACCAUAUCGACACAUCUCUUGCAUGGAUACUUUAUCCAACUAGCACUGUCAACCUUGUACCGUGCAAACUUAAUAAAAUCUCGAAUACUUUUUCGAUAUUCAAGCAAAAAAAUACCUCUGCAUUCAUCCAACUUUUAUUGAUAUCUAUCUAAUAAUAAAUACGAAAAUCAUUAAUAAUAAAAAAAAAUUAGUGGUAUUCAUUCAAAUCGGAUCCCGACCC
rnacentral:lncRNA from 1 species